AAGAUAUAUAAGAUGUGAUCCAAUUUCAGCUCCAAUCUCUAUUUGUAUCUAACUCCUGGAGGUCCAAAGGAGCUGAUCCUGCAGGUUUCCCUGUUCACACCAGUGAGGGACUUGGAGUCUGUCCAGUGCUUCUAUGAACUCCAAGUGCAUCCUGCUGCUGCCCACAGGAAUUUUUGCUGUUUCUCUGCUAUGAGACAGAGUUUGGAGGCACUUGGGACCAUUGGACAAGCAGAGCAGCCAGGUAAACCUGUUGAAAAUAACAGCAAUUUAAUUGCUUACUCUGAAACCUAAUGGUUCUAAUUAAAAAUGUCAAUACUGUCAAAAAUUCAAUAACAAUAUCAAUUCCAAAUGCAGUCAUUUGGAAAGAUAGCCAAAGUAUUAUUCUCAAAAAGCUGAUCAUAAAAUAAAUUUGCAGUUCCUUAGGGCA
rnacentral:lncRNA from 1 species